rnacentral:rRNA from 1 species
GACGGAGGGUGCGAGCGUUGUUCGGAUUGACUGGGCGUAAAGGGCGUGUAGGCGGUCGGCCAAGUCUGGUGUGAAAGCCCGGGGCUCAGCUCCGGAAGUGCGCCGGAAACUAGCUGGCUGGAGCGCGGUAGAGGAGGGUGGAAUUCCUGGUGUAGCGGUGAAAUGCGUAGAUAUCAGGAGGAACACCGGCGGCGAAGGCGGCCCUCUGGACCGUUGCUGACGCUGAGACGCGAAAGCGUGGGUAGCAAACAGG